UACGUAGGGGGCGAGCGUUGUCCGGAAUGACUGGGCGUAAAGGGCGCGUAGGCGGCCGGAUAAGUUAGGAGUGAAAUUCCAUUUUUCAAGGAUGGAACUGCUUUUAAUACUGUCUGGCUGGAGUGCAGAAGAGGUAAGCGGAAUUCCCAGUGUAGCGGUGAAAUGCGUAGAGAUUGGGAAGAACACCAGUGGCGAAGGCGGCUUACUGGGCUGUAACUGACGCUGAGGCGCGAAAGCGUGGGGAG
rnacentral:rRNA from 1 species